CGACGUCAAACGUCAGUGUGAUCACUGCAAGGGCAACUCUCCUUACAAUACAGAAGCAAUGAAGAUUGCCUUGCUUCUAUGCUUAUGCAUUAUUGCAGUUGCGCUACUACGUACAGUAAGAGGACGUUUGAUGGGCUGCGACAGUUCAUGCAAGAAGCCACGCGACCCAGCGUGCAAAAGACUUCGGAACGCAGAAUCGGAUCCAAAUGCGCGUUAUUUCCCCGAGAGAGGGAGAUGCUUUAGGUUUUCGUCAAAGAUAUGCAAAGGAAGAUUCUACAGAAGCCAACAGAAGUGCGAACAGUGUGCAAAUCCUAUUUAAACGCCGGACGAUAAAUGCGGUAAAAGUUGUGAUCUACAGAAGAAUAGCAAAUAUCGAUGCAGUUUGAAGUAACUAUGUUUGUUUCAGUAAUUGUUUGCCGGCAGUUUUGUCUAGUGAAGGUACAUACGAUGUUGAAAACGAUGUGUUUGCUUAAACACAUUUGUUUACCAUGAUAUAAAUGUUUGAGAAGAUGGAGUCGUCCAGCAAAACCUAUGAUCCUAAAUUCACAAAUGUCAAUAAAGGUUCUUUUUUAAAUAUC
rnacentral:lncRNA from 1 species